GACGAACGCUGGCGGCGUGCUUAACACAUGCAAGUCGAACGGUGAAAGCGGAGCUUGCUCCGCUGGAUCAGUGGCGAACGGGUGAGUAACACGCGGGCAACCUGCCCUUCACUUCGGGAUAACUCCGGGAAACCGGGGCUAAUACCGGAUAUGACCUCUGCGGGUAUCCGCGGAGGUGGAAAGUUUUUCGGUGAAGGAUGGGCCCGCGGCCUAUCAGCUUGUUGGUGAGGUAGUGGCUCACCAAGGCGACGACGGGUAGCCGGCCUGAGAGGGCGACCGGCCACACUGGGACUGAGACACGGCCCAGACUCCUACGGGAGGCAGCAGUGGGGAAUAUUGCGCAAUGGGCGAAAGCCUGACGCAGCAACGCCGCGUGCGGGAUGACGGCCUUCGGGUUGUAAACCUCUUUCAGCACCGACGAAGCGCAAGUGACGGUAGGUGCAGAAGAAGGACCGGCCAACUACGUGCCAGCAGCCGCAGUAA
rnacentral:rRNA from 1 species